rnacentral:rRNA from 1 species
UACGGAGGAUGCGAGCGUUAUCCGGAUUUAUUGGGUUUAAAGGGCGCGUAGGCGGACCAUCAAGUCAGCGGUCAAAAGUCGGGGCUCAACCCCGUAAAGCCGUUGAAACUGGCGGUCUUGAGUGAGCGAGAAGCAGGCGGAAUGCGUGGUGUAGCGGUGAAAUGCAUAGAUAUCACGCAGAACCCCGAUUGCGAAGGCAGCCUGCCGGCGCUCAACUGACGCUGAGGCACGAAAGUGCGGGGAUCGAACAG